rnacentral:rRNA from 1 species
UACGAAGGGGGCUAGCGUUGCUCGGAAUCACUGGGCGUAAAGGGUGCGUAGGCGGGUCUUUUAAGUCAGGGGUGAAAUCCUGGAGCUCAACUCCAGAACUGCCUUUGAUACUGAGGAUCUUGAGUUCGGGAGAGGAGAGUGGAAUUCCCAGUGUAGAGGUGAAAUUCGUAGAUAUUGGGAAGAACACCGGUGGCGAAGGCGGCUCUCUGGACCGAUACUGACGCUGAGGCGCGAAAGCGUGGGGAGCAAACAGGG